rnacentral:ncRNA from 1 species
GGAUUUUUUUUUUUUAUAUAAAAGUUUUAUCAUGGCUUUGAGAUUAAUUAUUUAAUUUUUGUAUAUGUAAGUAAAUGCGUAAAAAGUUUUAAAUAGAUUUUUGAAUCAGUAUGUAGAUUUAGUUUUUAAGUGGGCUUAUAACUAGGAAUUUAAUUUAGUGUAAACAAAAUUUGUGCCAGCAGUUGCGGUUAGACAAAUUAGGCAAGUUAAUUUUUUUUAGUUCAAUUAAGUAGAAAUUAGAAAUUUGGAGAAGGACUUUUUAGGUGAAAUUUAAAGUUUUUAGAGGGUUUGUUAUUUGUUUCUGAAGUUGAGAAAUUUAUUUAUAGACUAGGAUUAGAUACCCUAUUAUUAGAAAUGUAAAAUUUUUAACUUAAAUUAUUAUGAGUUAUGAUCUUUAAAAUUAAAGGAUUUGGCGGUAUUUUAGUCUUUUCAGAGGAACCUGUUUUUUAAUCGAUAGUCCACGAUAAUUUCUACUUUAAUUAUAAAUUUAUAUAUCGUCGUUUAUAAAAAUUUUAUUAGAAUUAUAAUUUUUAUAAUGUUAAAUUAGAAAGUAAUUCAGAUCAAGGUGUAGUUGAUAUUAAAGUUAAAAUGGGUUACAUUAAAGUUAUUUUUGGUUAUUAAUUUUAAAAUUUAAUUUAAAUUGGAUUUGAUAGUAAUUUUAUUAUUUAUGUAAAGUGAUUUAGCUCUAAAAUAUGCACAUAUUGCCCGUCGCUUUCAUUAUAAAUGGAAUAAGUCGUGACAAAGUAGGCUUAUUGGAAAAUGGGCCUGGAAUGA